AAAACGACUCUCGGCAACGGAUAUCUCGGCUCUCGCAUCGAUGCGAAGAACGCAGCGAGAAUGCUUAUACUUGGUGUGAAUUGCAGAAUCCCGCGAACCAUCGAGUCUUUGAACGCAAGUUGCGCCCGAAGCCUUUCGGCCGAGCGCACGUCUGCCUGGGUGUCACGCA
rnacentral:rRNA from 1 species